rnacentral:tRNA from 1 species
GGGUUCGUAGUGUAGCUUGGUUAUCAUUGGGCCUUCGGGAGGCUUAGACCCCGGUUCAAAUCCGGGCGAACCCA